rnacentral:rRNA from 1 species
UACGUAGGGACCAAGCGUUGUUCGGAUUUACUGGGCGUAAAGGGCGCGUAGGCGGCAAUUCAAGUCAUCUGUGAAAUCUCCGGGCUUAACUCGGAACGGUCAGAUGAUACUGCUUUGCUAGAGUCCGGAAGAGGAGAGUGGAAUUCCUGGUGUAGCGGUGAAAUGCGCAGAUAUCAGGAAGAACACCCGUGGCGAAGGCGGCUCUCUGGGACGGUACUGACGCUGAGACGCGAAAGCGUGGGGAGCGAACAGG